UGUACCUUUAAAAACAGUCCAGAGAGGCUGGCAAGGUAAACGAUAAGAAAAGACGGGAUAUCGAGAAUCUUAGGUUCACGAUAUGAACAAGCGUGGGAUGUGCGCAUCCUGAUGCCCCGCUCUGUAUCUUUAUGCACUCGUAACUCCUUGCCAAGAAUUGGGCAAGGAGUUUUUUGGU
rfam:Paenibacillus ferrarius strain CY1 CY1_scaffold6, whole genome shotgun sequence.